UUGUACUUGAAUUUGGACAUGUGAGAUAUAUAUAGUAUGAGAAUCCAUGUCAAUAUAUAGUUGAAAAGUACAUUGAAUAAGCAGUAAUCAGUGCGUGAAUUUCAAUGGUCUCAUCAUGGCAUUAUCCUCGUGAUCUAAUAUCUGCAAGAAAUUAAAAUAAUUAAAAAGCAUGGUAAAAAUGAAGAUGGUGAAGAAAUGAAAAGAACUUACAUGACAAUGGUAGACAUAGCCCGGGUGAGCAGUGGCAUCGAAGGGAUACGAGUGAUUGGAAUGAAUGUAAGAAAACUUGACUAUUAUCUUGGUGAUGUGUCCGGGCAUCAUCUUGAACACAUUUUUCCAGCCCUUCUCGUGGGCGGG
rnacentral:lncRNA from 1 species